GUGGACAACCUGCCCUUAGGUCGGGUAUAAACCCGGGAAACUGGGUAUAAUCCCCUAUAAUUCUCGGCUGCUGGAAUGCACCGAGAUUAAAAGCUCCGGCGCCUAAGGAUGGGUCUGCGGCCUAUCACGUAUUACUGGGUGUACCGUACCUACUAACCUACUACGGGUACGGGUUGUGAGAGCAAGAGCCCAGAGAUGGAUUCUGAGACACGAAUCCAGGCCCUACGGGGUGCAGCAGGCGCGAAAACUUUACAAUGCUGGCAACAGCGAUAAAGGAACCUCGAGUGCCAGGUUACAAAUCUGGCUGUCGAGAUGCCUAAAAAGCAUUUCAUAGCAAGGGCCGGGCAAGACCGGUGCCAGCCGCCGCGGUAACUCCGGCGGCUCUAGUGGUAACCGUUAUUAUUGGAUCUAAAGGGUCUGUACCCGGCCGGAUAAGUCUCUUGAGAAAUCUGGCAGCUCAACUGUCACGCUUUCACGAGAUACUGUCUGGCUCUAGGCCGGGAGAGGUGACAGGUACUUCAGGGGUAGGGGUGAAAUCUUGUAAUCCUUGAAGGACCAUCAGUGUCGAAGGCGUCUCACCAGAACGGACCUGACGGGUAGGGACGAAAGCUAUGGGCACGAACCGGAUUAGAUACCCGGAUAGUCCUAUGCCGUAAACGAUACUCACUAUGAGUCAGCCACGGUGCGACCGUUGUC
rnacentral:rRNA from 1 species